UACAGAGGGUGCGAGCGUUAAUCGGAAUUACUGGGCGUAAAGCGUGCGUAGACGGUUAUGUAAGUCGGAUGUGAAAGCCCCGGGCUUAACCUGGGAAUUGCAUUCGAGACUGCAUAGCUAGGAUGCGGAAGAGGGAAGUGGAAUUUCCGGUGUAGCAGUGAAAUGCGUAGAUAUCGUAAGGAAGACCAGUGGCGAAGGCGAGUUCCUGGACAGUUACUGACACUGAGGCACGAAGGCCAGGGGAGCAAACGGG
rnacentral:rRNA from 1 species